ACCGUGUUGGACAGACCUCCGGUUUACCAGUUGUGCCGCCAGGUGCACCGCUGGGUAUCUGAGUCUGGAUUGGAUAAGCGCUGAACGCAUCUAAGUGCGAAGCCAGCCGCAAGAUUAGAACUCCUCACAAGGGUCGUCACAGACGAUGACGUUGAUAGGGCGCAGGUGUAAAGACGGUGACGUCAAAGCCGAGCGCUACUAAUUGCCCGAAGGCUUUUGA
rnacentral:rRNA from 1 species